rnacentral:rRNA from 1 species
CCUACGGGGUGCAGCAGUGAGGAAUAUUGGUCAAUGGACGCAAGUCUGAACCAGCCAUGCCGCGUGCAGGAAGACGGCUCUAUGAGUUGUAAACUGCUUUUGUACGAGGGUAAACGCAGAUACGCGUAUCUGUCUGAAAGUAUCGUAAGAAUAAGGAUCGGCUAACUCCGUGCCAGCAGCCGCGGUAAUACGGAGGAUUCAAGCGUUAUCCGGAUUUAUUGGGUUUAAAGGGUGCGUAGGCGGUCGGAUAAGUUAGAGGUGAAAUCCCGAGGCUCAACUUCGGAAUUGCCUCUGAUACUGUUCGUCUAGAGAGUAGUUGCGGUAGGCGGAAUGUAUGGUGUAGCGGUGAAAUGCUUAGAGAUCAUACAGAACACCGAUUGCGAAGGCAGCUUACCAAGCUACUUCUGACGUUGAGGCACGAAAGCGUGGGGAGCAAACAGGAUUAGAUACCCUGGUAGUC